AUUGAACGCUGGCGGCAUGCCUUACACAUGCAAGUCGAACGGCAGCGCGGGAGCAAUCCUGGCGGCGAGUGGCGAACGGGUGAGUAAUAUAUCGGAACGUGCCCAGUAGUGGGGGAUAGCCCGGCGAAAGCCGGAUUAAUACCGCAUACGACCUGAGGGUGAAAGGGGGGGAUCGCAAGACCUCUCGCUAUUGGAGCGGCCGAUAUCAGAUUAGGUAGUUGGUGGGGUAAGGGCCUACCAAGCCUGCGAUCUGUAGUUGGUCUGAGAGGACGACCAGCCACACUGGGACUGAGACACGGCCCAGACUCCUACGGGAGGCAGCAGUGGGGAAUUUUGGACAAUGGGCGCAAGCCUGAUCCAGCAAUGCCGCGUGCAGGAAGAAGGCCUUCGGGUUGUAAACUGCUUUUGUCAGGGAAGAAAUCCUCUAGGCUAAUACCUUGGGGGGAUGACGGUACCUGAAGAAUUAGCACCGGCUAACUACGUGCCAGCCGCCGCAGUAA
rnacentral:rRNA from 1 species